AUGGUUGGAAUAUGGGGUCCAGGUGGAGUGGGGAAAACACACCUUCUGAACAAUAUCAAGAACUCACUUGAUGGAGACAUGACCUUUAACUAUGUGGUGCAAGUGAUAGCUUCAAGGGGGUGUUCGGUUGAAAAGAUCCAAAAUGACAUUGUACGUCAGCUUAGAUUGAAGAAAGGUGGUAAUGUGGAAUCUCGAUGCCAUGUCAUUUUUGACUUCCUAAAGAACAAAAGCUUUCUUGUAUUGUUGGAUGACCUUUGGGACCAAAUUGAUCUGCAAGCAGUUUGCAUACCAUAUCCACUUGGAAGUGCAAACCAAAUCAAAAGAAAAGUGGUGCUCACAACAAGAUUAAAAAAAUUGUGGUCAAAUGGAGGUGAGAAAAGAGUUUAA
rnacentral:rRNA from 1 species